CGACGCUCUUCCGAUCUGACUCUGCUUGACUAGCUGAGAGGAGGUGCAUGGCCGUCGUCAGUUCGUACUGUGAAGCAUCCUGUUAAGUCAGGCAACGAGCGAGACCCACGCCAACAGUUGCCAGCUCGUCCUCCGGGAUGGUGGGGACACUGUUGGGACCGCCUCUGCUAAAGAGGAGGAAGGAAUGGGCAACGGUAGGUCAGCAUGCCCCAAAUUAUCCGGGCUACACACGGGCUACAAUGGUCAGGACAAUGGGUAUCGACACCGAAAGGUGAAGGCAAUCUCCUAAACCCAUCCUUAGUUCGGAUUGUGGGCUGCAACUCGCCCACAUGAAGCUGGAAUCUGUAGUAAUCGUGUCUCAACAUGGCACGGUGAAUAUGUCCCUGCUCCUUGCACACACCGCCCGUCAAACCACCCGAGUGAGGUCUUGAUGAGGCCGUCGUUUUUGCGGCGGUCGAAUCUAGGUUUUGCAAGGGGGGUUAAGUCGUAACAAGGUAGCCGUAGGGGAAUCUGCGGCUG
rnacentral:rRNA from 1 species